AUUGAACGCCGGCGGCAGGCCUAACACAUGCAAGUCGGACGGUAGCACAGAGGAGCUUGCUCCUCGGGUGACGAGUGGCGGACGGGUGAGUAAUGUCUGGGGAUCUGCCCGAUAGAGGGGGAUAACCACUGGAAACGGUGGCUAAUACCGCAUAACGUCGCAAGACCAAAGAGGGGGACCUUCGGGCCUCUCACUAUCGGAUGAACCCAGAUGGGAUUAGCUAGUAGGCGGGGUAACGGCCCACCUAGGCGACGAUCCCUAGCUGGUCUGAGAGGAUGACCAGCCGCACUGGAACUGAGACACGGUCCAGACUCCUACGGGAGGCAGCAGUGGGGAAUAUUGCACAAUGGGCGCAAGCCUGAUGCAGCCAUGCCGCGUGUAUGAAGAAGGCCUUCGGGUUGUAAAGUACUUUCAGCGGGGAGGAAGGCGAUAAGGUUAAUAACCUUGUCGAUUGACGUUACCCGCAGAAGAAGCACCGGCUAACUCCGUGCCAGCAGCCGCGGUAA
rnacentral:rRNA from 1 species